rnacentral:rRNA from 1 species
AGCGAACGUUAGCGGCGGCUUAACACAUGCAAGUCGAACGAGAAAGUACCUUCGGGUGCGAGUAAAGUGGCGAACGGGUGAGGAACACGUGCGUAACCUACCUUCUGGCGCGGGACAACGGUCCGAAAGGACCGCUAAUACCGCAUACGUUGUUGACGACUACGGUUGUUACCAAGAAACGGUGGCUCUUUGAGCUAUCGCCGGAAGAUGGGCGCGCGUCCCAUCAGCUUGUUGGUGAGGUAAUGGCUCACCAAGGCGUAGACGGGUAGCUGGUCUGAGAGGAUGAUCAGCCACACUGGGACUGAGACACGGCCCAG